UACGGAAGGCAGCAGGGGGGAAUAUUGCACAAUGGGCGCAAGCCUGAUGCAGCCAUGCCGCGUGUAUGAAGAAGGCCUUCGGGUUGUAAAGUACUUUCAGUCGUGAGGAAGGUGUUAAGGUUAAUAACCUUAGCAAUUGACGUUAGCGACAGAAGAAGCACCGGCUAACUCCGUGCCAGCAGCCGCGGUAAUACGGAGGGUGCGAGCGUUAAUCGGAAUUACUGGGCGUAAAGGGCACGCAGGCGGUUAAUUAAGUUGGAUGUGAAAUCCCCGGGCUUAACCUGGGAAUGGCAUUCAAGACUGGUUAGCUAGAGUCUUGUAGAGGGGGUUAGAAUUCCAUGUGUAGCGGUGAAAUGCGUAGAGAUGUGGAGGAAUACCGGUGGCGAAGGCGGCCCCUGGACAAAGACUGACGCUCAUGUGCGAAAGCUGGGGAGCAAACGAGGGAUUAGAUAC
rnacentral:rRNA from 1 species